rnacentral:rRNA from 1 species
AUUGAACGCUGGCGGCAGGCCUAACACAUGCAAGUCGAGCGAGCGGCGGACGGGUGAGUAAUGUAUGGGGACUGCCCGAUAGAGGGGGAUAACUACUGGAAACGGUAGCUAAUACCGCAUACUAUCGGAUAACCCAUAUGGGAUUAGCUAGUUGGUGAGGUAAUGGCUCACCAAGGCGACGAUCCCUAGCUGGUCUGAGAGGAUGAUCAGCACCACUGGUCCUGAGACACUGCCAAGACCCCUACGGAGGCAGCAGUGGGGAAUAUUUCACAAUGGGCUAAAGCCUGAUGCAGCCUUGCGGCGUGUAUGAAGAAGGCCCUAGGGUUGUAAAGUACUUUCAGUCGGGAGGCGUUACCGACAGAAGAAGCAACGGCUAACUCCGUGCCAGCAGCCGCGGUAAUUC